CACGGACAGACAGACCGGUCCCGGAGAGUGGUCGGCUCUCGGCGGCUUCUCGUCUCUCUCCACCUUGGGUCGCCCUGGGCCUUCCUCCCCCCUCUCCCGGCCCAGCUGUCCUGGCAGGGUAAGGUUCUUCACCUUCCCCAGAGAAUCUCAAGGAACCGGACCGAGUUUGUUGCAGUUCAGCCCAGUUGCGGUUGUGGGUAUCUAUAGCAGAGGCUGAGAGUUGAACCUUCAUAUUUAUUCUCUCCUGCCAUACUAAUAGCAUUUUUAGUUAAGUGGCUACCUAGAAUGAAGGCUCCAUGACCCAGCCUUCCCUGUAGGGCAACACCCUUCCAUGUACAUGUCCCUGGAGAGACCUAGAGGGGACAGGUGAGGGCUGAGGGCAGGGAGAGCUGAUGACUGCAGCGCAGCUGUGCCUAUAAAGCAGGAGAGGUUGUUUUGAAGAUUCUGCUUCUCUUUGGGAUUCAGCAUCAACACUUGGCUCACAGGGGGCUUCAGUCAAUGAAACCUGACUGGAACUUACAAGCACAUCCACCCCCACUCGCCGCCUGCCACGGAAACAACCAGAGAGGCUGAGCGUCUCUCAGAUUGAGCAUGAAACACUCUCAGCUGCGUUCAGCCACAUUCGGGGUUGCACGUGUGCUACCGGGCAUUGUGCGGCUCAUCCCACCCCAAACCCUCUCCUCCUACCUCACCUCGCUCCACCCCGCCCUGCUCCCCCGCCCUGCAAAGGGACUGUUUAGUGAGGACUCCAACUGUUGGCGUCUAACAAGGCAGAACAAAGGCCCGCGUGCUCAUGGAGUUCCAUUUGGAGUGCACAACAAUUUCAGAGCACAAAUGGAAAAAGAAAAAAAAGGAGGUUUGAAAUCUAUAGCUGGCUUUUAUCAAAUCAGAACUUGUAGCUCUCGGCUGACAAUCAGCCAGUAGCUAAAACCCACGAGGGACGGCUCUGACUUGCAGCUUCUGACUGGCUAUUAGCUACCAGCAGCCUUCUGACCCUUUUUCCAGGGAAGUAACAGCUGGCAGCUGACAAAGGCGCUGGCAGAGCGGGUAACUUACGCUUCUCUGGGAACGGAUCUAAGAUUGGCAGGAAAUAAGGCAUUUAAAAUAUGACGAUUAUAAGCAUUUUCACUUGCCUUUUUUUUAUUAUGCUUUUGGAUUCUGGCUCUGAUUGCUAAAAUGUAUUAUGUGCUAAGGAGCUUUGAUGGUAUUUUUUGGAGAAGUAGAUGUCCCCGCGCUUUCCCUGUCACUAACACCAGCGCUUCAGCCCAGAAAAACGUUCAUUCUAUGAGUGUUUUCUACGUGGCCUUCUUGAAAACAAUUCUUAAUAACAAACAUGAUAGAAUAAUGGCCGUGAGAUUACAUGAGCUUAAGUGAAGUGCUGCCGGCUAAUUAAAGCACAGCUUUGGCUCAUUCAGGGCUGCUGGGCAGGGCCUUCUGUGGUGUUGCAGCAGUUGGGGAGAAAAGUAGAAAUUGGGAUGAAGUGUAGAUGGAUUAACCAGCAGUAGAUUGAAGAACAAUUUAGCCUCAUUUCUCUCUUUUAUGUACCACGCAGCCCUCCAUUUUUUUUUGUCACAAAGGGCAGAGGUAGGGGGAUUACAACAAGCCGUCCUAGUAGAAAAGUCAGUGAUUGUGAAACGUGAUAACCACCCUCACUCAAGAGGGUGGGAGGACACAGUGUGACGACUCCACACUUACUCCCCUUGGGCCCUAGCUGCUUUGUUGCUGUGACUCUUUUUGUAGGACAUAGCACUUUGGGGUUGUAGCUAUUACACUAUCUGCAAUAUUGCUAUUUUAAUUUUGGUAAUAAUAAUACAAGCUGCUUAUUAUAAUGGUUGACUUCUAUUGAACGUUUUAAUUAAAAUGUAGAUGUUCAACAGGG